AGAGCCGGUGCACCGACAGAGCCUGGUAUUGGCUUUGGGUCCGUGAAACACCACGGAUGCUCACAAACCCCGCGACCCGUCAACCAUCUUGACUCAAGGACCCCCCCCCACGCCCACCCCGAAUGCGGAGGGACCGGCGGGCUGGAAUCCACGACCGGCGAGUCUGCCCUCGCCUGCACACUGCAGCCUCAGCCUGGAGAGCCCCGGCACGCACCCCCGCCCCCCGCCCCCGCCCCGCCCCGUCGCGGGUCUUUUACCUUGUGGCCUUUCCCUGGGGGACACCUGACGUUGUUGGAGGCUCCCGCUGUUUGAUUCAUGUCCGGAGGAAGUUGGGGGGCCCGAUUCUCGGCCUUCAAAACUUCCUUCGCGCGUGGAGGGUGGCAAGGUGCGCGUCUCGGGGAGGCCAGGUGGGUCCUCCCUCUCCAGCCACGGCCGGGCGAGCGGAAGCCGGUUCCUCACGCCGCAGGUUUCGGCGGGGCUCCUCGCCCAGGGAUGACAGCCCGCAGCCCGGUGCUGAGGAAGGAGAAGCUGCGGCUGGGACCCCGGAGGGAGCCCGGGCGGCAGCAGCGGCUUCCAGGGCGCUCUGCCCAGCGCUGCCUUCCUGGGAAACAGUCCAGACUCUCAGGACCAGAAGCCCGAGCAAAUCGGAAAGGAGCUCCGAGGAGGGGCCAAGGAGUCAUGAUCUAAUUAGUCAGCUUUCGGAUAGAGGUGGAAAACUGACCCUUGGGAACUAAGAAAAACAAAUCAAGAAAGAGCAACUGCUCCGUGAAGACUGCAUUGCAACAUUCUAGAAUUACAAGUCUGAGUGGUGGACCAGCAGCACAUUAGAAUACAGCCUUGGAGUUUAGCUAAAUGUUUUUUUCUAGAUUCCUGCAGGUAGAGAUGGCAGAGUUUGAAUAUUCUGGGUGGAAAAUCAAACCACACAACUCGGUUUCUGUUUCCAGAUCGCUCAUCCUUCGGUUCAUCAUCUGUAAAGUGAAGGAAGAUAUUGGCUUCCCCGGUGAGAACCGGAGCUGCGGUUCCUCCUCAGUCACGUUGGGGAACAGCACGUCCCCAUGGGUGCCCCUUUAGAGUAAAAAGGAGAUUUCCUUCUCAGGGGUCUGCCGAUGCUCACUGUCAUCUCCCUAGGUGGGUGUUUAGUGCUGUAUUCCAGGUACGGCAAGGUGGGAGGCGGUGGUUCAUCAGGUGGCAGGCAGUGUUAUUAACAACUACCUGGAACUGCUGAGAACGCUUCACGUUUACACACAGAUACCGCUGCUCUAUUGCACUCUCUUCUGACAGUAAAAUUCACAGUGUGAGGCAUCCUAAGAGUGUGGCACUGAGGAGUUACCACCCUCACGCUACUCUACUCUCAGCCUCCAGCAAUUCAUCACAAUUACCCCUGAAGUGUUCCUCCUGGUUUAUCUCCAGCGGCUUCUGCUCUGGGUAAGCAGGUCUCAGCUGCGUCUCUUCGUUCACCCAUCUCUGCAGAUUCCUGCGAGCUGUGUGUCCUGGGACCUCAGUUCCCUUCUGGGUCCAAGAGAUUUUGUUGCUUUUCACUUUAUUCAGGUUUUUCUUGUUGUAAGGGUGGGAGUGAUGACUUCUAAGCUGUUUACAUGUUGGAGCUGAAACCAGAAGUCUCUGAGUCUAUCUUUUUAAUCUUGAAGUCUCCUGUUUUCUUUUUAUUUAAUAAUUCUUCCCUCAAUUCAUCUCUCUUCUCUCAUAUUAGACGAUGAGCGGCAAGAAAAAUGCAGAUGAUACCCCCUCACUGCUCAGAAAUCCCUUUAGCUAAAUAACCAAGUCUAUUAGGCAUAUUAGAAACCCUCUUCCGUUUUCAGCACAACUGCAGACUACACCAUCACUAAGCAUCCUGCCAUUUCAUAAUAAAUAUCGUGCUUCCAACGGGAUCAUUUGGAGCCAUUUCAGAAACAGCCUGCUAUAACCCACAUCACUAUUUUUUAAUGAUGAAUGUGAAGGCUAGAAAGUUCGAUGCAGUGUGGUCAGCUUUACUAAUAAAU
ensembl:lncRNA